rnacentral:rRNA from 1 species
CCUACGGGGGGCAGCAGUGAGGGAUAUUGCACAAUGGGGGAAACCCUGAUGCAGCGACGCCGCGUGGGUGAUGAAGGACUUCGGUUCGUAAAACCCUUUUACAGGUGACGAGAACGGACGGUAGCCUGUGAAUAAGCCUCGGCUAACUACGUGCCAGCAGCCGCGGUAAAACGUAGGAGGCGAGCGUUAUCCGGAGUUACUGGGCGUAAAGGGCGCGCAGGUGGUAGGGUAAGUGUGGCGUGAAAGCUCCCGGCUAAACUGGGAGAGGUCGAAAC